rnacentral:rRNA from 1 species
GACGAACGCUGGCGGCGUGCUUAACACAUGCAAGUCGAACGAGAGCGUAGAGAAAGCUUGCUUUUUCUACAAUCUAGUGGCAAACGGGUGAGUAACGCGUAAACAACCUGCCCUACGGAUGGGGACAACAGCUGGAAACGGCUGCUAAUACCGAAUACGUUCCGAAAGUCGCAUGACUAUCGGAAGAAAGGAUGGCCUCUAUUUAUAAGCUAUCGCCGGAGGAGGGGUUUGCGUCUGAUUAGCUAGUUGGAGGGGUAACGGCCCACCAAGGCGACGAUCAGGAGCCGGUCUGAGAGGAUGAACGGCCACAUUGGAACUGAAACACGGUCCAUACUCCUACGGGAGGCAGCAGUGGGGAAUCUUCCGCAAUGGGCGAAAGCCUGACGGAGCAACGCCGCGUGAGUGAAGACGGCCUUCGGGUUGUAAAGCUCUGUUAUACGGGACGAAUAAUCUUGUGGUUAAUACCCAUGAGAAGUGACGGUACCGUAAGAGAAAGCCACGGCUAACUACGUG